CAGACAAGGAGCUUGCUCCUUUGACGUUAGCGGCGGACGGGUGAGUAACACGUGGGUAACCUACCUAUAAGACUGGGAUAACUUCGGGAAACCGGAGCUAAUACCGGAUAAUAUUUCGAACCGCAUGGUUCGAUAGUGAAAGAUGGUUUUGCUAUCACUUAUAGAUGGACCCGCGCCGUAUUAGCUAGUUGGUAAGGUAACGGCUUACCAAGGCGACGAUACGUAGCCGACCUGAGAGGGUGAUCGGCCACACUGGAACUGAGACACGGUCCAGACUCCUACGGGAGGCAGCAGUAGGGAAUCUUCCGCAAUGGGCGAAAGCCUGACGGAGCAACGCCGCGUGAGUGAUGAAGGUCUUCGGAUCGUAAAACUCUGUUAUUAGGGAAGAACAUA
rnacentral:rRNA from 1 species